rnacentral:rRNA from 1 species
UACGAAAGGGUGCAAGCGUUACUCGGAAUUACUGGGCGUAAAGCGUGCGUAGGUGGUUUGUUAAGUCUGUUGUGAAAGCCCCGGGCUCAACCUGGGAAUGGCAAUGGAUACUGGCAGGCUAGAGUGCGGUAGAGGGUAGUGGAAUUCCCGGUGUAGCGGUGAAAUGCGUAGAGAUCGGGAGGAACACCAGUGGCGAAGGCGGCUACCUGGACCAGCACUGACACUGAGGCACGAAAGCGUGGGGAGCAAACAGG